UCACCUUUCCUCAGGCUCAACAGUUCAUUU
rnacentral:piRNA from 1 species